UACAGAGGGUGCGAGCGUUGUCCGGAAUCACUGGGCGUAAAGGGCGCGUAGGUGGCGUCGCAAGUUUGGUGGUGAAAGCUCGGCGCUCAACGCCGAGUCGGCCGCCCAAGACUGCGAGGCUGGAGCACUGUAGAGGCUAAUGGAAUUCCGGGUGUAGCGGUGGAAUGCGUAGAGAUCCGGAAGAACACCGGUGGCGAAGGCGGUUAGCUGGGCAGUUGGCUGACACUGGGGGCGCGACAGGCGUGGGGAGCAAACAGG
rnacentral:rRNA from 1 species